UACGAAGGGUGCAAGCGUUAAUCGGAAUUACUGGGCGUAAAGCGCACGUAGGCGGCAAUUCAAGUCAGGGGUGAAAUCCCGGGGCUCAACCCCGGAACUGCCCUUGAAACUGGAUCGCUAGAAUCUUGGAGAGGCGAGUGGAAUUCCGAGUGUAGAGGUGAAAUUCGUAGAUAUUCGGAAGAACACCAGUGGCGAAGGCGACUCGCUGGACAAGUAUUGACGCUGAGGUGCGAAAGCGUGGGGAGCAAACAGG
rnacentral:rRNA from 1 species